rnacentral:rRNA from 12 species
UCUAAGACCAUACCGUCCUACGAGUGCUCUGUCGUAUCUUGGAAGCUAAGCAAGGCCCAGCCUGGUACUUGAAUGGGAGACUGCCUUGGAAGACCAGGGUCGCUAGAC